GGAACCUUUCAUGACUGUGGACUGCGUCCACGUAGGUGACGAACUGCACCCGAAGUGGGCACGAGGAGGUGGUGUAAAUGGUUGGAACCGACCCGAACAUCUACUUGAUAAAGAAAAACGACUCGUCCGGUACGUUGAAUUGCUUCAGUGUUUAUUUGUCGAAAACUAUGAAAUUACAAACUAUUGGCUAAAACCUAAAUAAUGCAGUAUGGUACAUAUCGGCGUAUAUAUACAGGCAUAUAACAAUGGCCGAUACACAUGCGUGUAUAUUCAGUACGGUCUAGAAAUGCAUCUACCG